rnacentral:rRNA from 1 species
CAGUGGCGAACGGGUGAGUAACACGUGGGCAAUCUGCCCUGCACUCUGGGACAACACCGGGAAACCGGUGCUAAUACCGGAUACGACGCACCNCGGCAUCGGGUGUGCGUGGAAAGCUCCGGCGGUGCAGGAUGAGCCCGCGGCCUAUCAGCUUGUUGGUGGGGUGAUGGCCUACCAAGGCGACGACGGGUAGCCGGCCUGAGAGGGCGACCGGCCACACUGGGACUGAGACACGGCCCAGACUCCUACGGGAGGCAGCAGUGGGGAAUAUUGCACAAUGGGCGAAAGCCUGAUGCAGCGACGCCGCGUGAGGGAUGAAGGCCUUCGGGUUGUAAACCUCUUUCAGCAGGGAAGAAGCGCAAGUGACGGUACCUGCAGAAGAAGCACCGGCUAACUACGUGCCAGCAGCCGCGGUAAUACGUAGGGUGCGAGCGUUGUCCGGAAUUAUUGGGCGUAAAGAGCUCGUAGGCGGCCUGUCGCGUCGGAUGUGAAAGCCCGGGGCUUAACCCCGGGUCUGCAUUCGAUACGGGCAGGCUAGAGUUCGGUAGGGGAGAUCGGAAUUCCU